rnacentral:rRNA from 1 species
GACGAACGCUGGCGGCGUGCUUAACACAUGCAAGUCGAACGGUGAAGCGCUUUCCUUUUUGGUUGGUGUGGAUGAGUGGCGAACGGGUGAGUAACACGUGAGUAACCUGCCCCCUUCUUCUGGAUAACCGCAUGAAAGUGUGGCUAAUACGGGAUAUUCUGCGCCUGCUGCAUGGUGGGUGUGGGAAAGAUUGUGCCUUUGGGUGUUUUCGGUGGGGGAUGGGCUCGCGGCCUAUCAGCUUGUUGGUGGGGUGAUGGCCUACCAAGGCGGUGACGGGUAGCCGGCCUGAGAGGGUGGACGGUCACACUGGGACUGAGACACGGCCCAGACUCCUACGGGAGGCAGCAGUGGGGAAUAUUGCACAAUGGGCGCAAGCCUGAUGCAGCGACGCCGCGUGAGGGAUGGAGGCCUUCGGGUUGUGAACCUCUUUCGCCAGUGAAGCAGGCCUGCUCCGUGUGGGUGGGUUGACGGUAGCUGGAGAAGAAGCGCCGGCUAACUACGUG